CCCUGGCUGGCCCAGUUGGUGGAGCAUGGGACUCUUGAUCUUGAGGUCUUGAGUUCAAGCCCCAUGUUGGGGA
rnacentral:tRNA from 1 species